UUGUUUACGUUUCAUUGGACGGCGGGUGCCGAAGCACUGCCUAUGAAUCGUCACGAUCAAAAUGUUUGGCGGAUCACACUUGAUUGCUCAAGCGGAUGAAAUGGAGGGUCGCACAGCCCAUUAAUGAAAAUCGGCGGCUUCCCAUAAAACAGACUCGUUCCACGUGACGAAGACGGGGUCGUGAGACGCCCGAGAUUGGUGUGGUAAUGAUCCUUCCGCAGGUUCACCUACGGAAA
rnacentral:misc_RNA from 1 species